CUUCAGUGAUGAUACGAUGACGAGUCAGAAACGGCUGCCAUCUGCUUGGAGUAAACCGCUCAGUGCUACGUUCUGUGGCGCUGUGCUUGGGUACUCCCAACAGAGGCGUCCUGUUCAUUGAAUGAUCUUGAGGCAUUUGUCUGAGAAGG